CCAGCCAAUUUUCCCAAAUAAAAAACAGAGGAGAACAAGACGGAGGAGCUAGAGUGCUAGACCAGACCGGUCCAACAAAAAUCGAUUCCUCUUCUUCUCUCACGCGUCUGCUAACCCCGACCAUUCCCACGACGGAGACGAUGAGCCGAGCUGCGAUUUCUCGGAUCGACUUGUGUCAGACGAAUCGGGCUGCGAUUUUUCAGAUCGAAUUGGUCAGCGGAGCAGGUGGGGCGUCGGGGAUGGCGGACGAGGUGGGGAGUCAGGGCCGGCGGAGAAGCAGGAGGACCUCCAGGCAGCGUAGAGGGGCCUCGGGGGGCCCGUUCCACCGGACGCCUUCGGGCGGUGCAGUCGGUGAAGGCAGAUCGGGCGGCGGUGACGGGAGAUGGAGGUGGCGGAGACCCUGUUCGGGACGGGGAAGAGGAACCGACAUCGGUCAGUUGGGUGAGGGAGGAAACAAGACCGCGAAUCGUUUUGUGGCAUUUUGUGCGUUAUAUGUUGUUUGGUGGGAGGGUAUUCCUGUAAAAUGGUUCGUUUGGAGCAGCAUCUGCCACAAGAAUCACUGAUUUGGGUGCUUCUCAUCGCUAGUUCAUUAUGUAGGAGCGCUCCAAGGCGGCAGCUUCGAGAAUCUAGGUCGAAAAGGGAUGUUUGUUUGGG
rnacentral:lncRNA from 1 species